GGGUGGCUAUUGGAUAGUAUGAUUUCUUAUCCUUCUAGCAGGUUAGCCCAGGCUCAGUGGUGGAGGCAAGGAUCUGAGAGAAAGGAAAUAUGUAAAGCCUGUUGAGGCCAGGAUUAGAAUGGUUCACUGUGACUUCUAUCACUUUGUACUGGCUAAACGAGUCACAAGGCCAGCCAAGAUUCAAGAGGUACAAAAAUAGACUCCAUGUCUUGAUGGAAGAAUCUGAAAAGUCACUUUACAAAUAAUAUAGAUACAGGAAGGUCACCAACUGGGGCUAUCAAUUUAAGCAAUCUACUAGUCUGGUACAUAAUUAUUGUCCCAGGAUGUCCUUCCACCCUCACCCUUUGAGUUCUUGUUUUCAUCUUGUAUUGGAUCUCCUGUAUAUCAGUCAGGCUUCAGAAAUGAUGCCAGUUAUUUUAACAGACCAGAGGGUGAGAGGUGGCUUAGCUGGUGCUGGUAUCUCUGAGGGGCAUAGGAGGCUGAUCUUGAAAGUGUUGGGAAAACUGUCAACUGGAUUAACAGUUGCUACAAGAAGGAACUUUUGCUGCCAGGGGGAAGAAGUGUUGCCAGUGUGAUGCUCUCAGGAACUGCAAGAGAACAGCAAGCAAACAGAAUUCCUGUUAGCCAGUUGUGGAAUCAUGAACCCUGAGCCCACCAAGUGAAGAAUCAAUGGCUAGACUCCUGGAAGGUGAGAGAACACAUGGAGAGAAGCCAAACCAUCCCAGCAGAACCCAGACCUGUCAUACCAGCUACCAGCUGACUGCAAAUGAAUGAACUCAUUUAAUACCAACAGUAGACCCACCUACCUGAGCCUAGCCCAAAUGACUGACUCACACCAUUAUGAGCAAGUAAAAUGAUUUUUAUUUUAAGCCAUUAGGCUUUGGGGUGGUUGGUUAUGCAGCAGGUGAUAACCAAUACGAGGUAUAUUGGUUGCAUUUACAAAUCGCAGAGAUCAAGGCUAUGCUGUUUUAAUCUAUGUGUCUUUGUUGACUUAGACUUGUUUUUUUUUCUUAUUUUUUUAUUUUUUUCUUAUUUUACUUUAAGUUCUGGGAUACAUGUGCGGAACAUGCAGGUUUGUUACAUAGGUAUACAUGUGCCAUGGUGGUUUGCUGCACCUAUCAACCCGUCUAGACUUGUUUUUUAAAUCUCUUUGUCAUUUUAGUGUGGUUUUGGGAAGGAGUAAAAGUAAAUAUACAUUCAUCACAUUUAACUGGAAUGUGGAACUCCAUUCACUUCCUCUUCAUCUGUCCAACAGAUAUUUUCUGAUUACCUAGUAGAUAUCAACAGCACUGGAUACUUGUAACACAGCUCUCAUUUAAUCUUUACAGCAGUGCUAUGCAUUAGGCAUUAGAUUCCCCUUUUAACAGAUGAGACAAAUAAGACUCAGUGAGGUUAAGAGACUUGCUAGAGGUCUUGCAAUUAGUAAAUAGCAUUGUUAGAAUUUGUGUCCUUGACUGAGUGUCAACAAAGUACCCAAUAUUUUCAAUAUACUUUGUUAAACUAGAAAAUAGACAGUAGAGAUUCUAAAGUUGGAAUGGAUAUAAGACCGAUCACAUAGUAGACAAGCUGACAGC
rnacentral:lncRNA from 1 species